rnacentral:tRNA from 2 species
GCACCCAUAGCUCAAUUGGAAGAGUAUCGGUCUUCGAAACCGGCGGUUGUAGGUUCGAACCCUACUGGGUGCACCA